UUCUGGUUGAUCCUGCCGGACCUGACUGCUAUCGGAUUGAUACUAAGCCAUGCGAGUCUUUGUAGUAAUACAAGGCAUACGGCUCAGUAACGCGUAGUCAACCUACCCUAUGGACAAGAAUAAUCUCGGGAAACUGAGCAUAAUUCUUGAUAGACCAUAAUGCCUGGAAUGGUUUAUGGUUAAAAUGAUUCGUCGCCAUAGGAUGGGACUGCGGCCUAUCAGCUUGUUGGUGAGGUAAUGGCCCACCAAGGCGAUUACAGGUACGGGCUCUGAGAGGAGAAGCCCGGAGAUGGGUACUGAGACAAGGACCCAGGCCCUAUGGGGCGCAGCAGGCGAGAAAACUUUGCAAUGUGCGAAAGCACGACAAGGUUAGUCCGAGUGAUUUCUGCUAAAGAGAUCUUUUGCUAGUUAUAAAACCACUAGUGAAUAAGGGGUGGGCAAGUUCUGGUGUCAGCCGCCGCGGUAAAACCAGCACCUCAAGUGGUCAGGAUGAUUAUUGGGCCUAAAGCAUCCCGUAGCCCGGCUCUGUAAGUUUUCGGUUAAAUCUAUGCGCUCAACGUAUGGGCUGCCGAAAAUACUAUAGAGAUAGGGAGUGGGAGAGGUAGACGGUACUCGGUAGGAAGGGGUAAAAUCCUUUGAUCUAUCGAUGACCACCUGUGGCGAAGGCGGUCUACC
rnacentral:rRNA from 1 species